CUAAAAUUCUAUUUUUUAUUUGCAAGGUCAUUCAUGUUAUUGUGGAAAAUUGAAUAAAAUUUAACUGCAUUCUAUUUUAUAGAGGAACUUCGAACAGAGAUUGGAAGCUUUAAAGAAACGACAGGAAGCUUUGGUGAGACAACAGGAAUGUUAUAUUUAUUAAUGAGGAAAAAUAUUGUUAAUUGUUUUUCGUUGAUAAAUUUGAGUCGUUUUCUAAUAUGUCGGGCGGUCAUAUCAAAGGAUAUGUGUAUUGGCAACGGAGUGUUUAUUCGUUUUACACUUCGUCGUAUGUUGAAUAUGUAGCGCUAUUUGUUUGACACAAGUAUUGCCCUCCAUCCUAUGAACAUCCUAAAUGCUGAUCUGGUACUGUAGUUGACAAGUUACAAAUACAAUAAAAUAAUCAUUGUUCUAUAAUCAUGAAUUGAAAGGAAAACGCUGUUGAGUGUCUCACGGCUCAAUUUUGGAUCAGUUUUGUUCAUAUUGUAUAAUGAAACCGAAAAAUUUAACAAUGCGCACAGGCACACUGACACACAAACUCAGAUGACAAAAUAAUCUCCUGACGGUGUUGAUACUGAGGGUGCAACGUUCAGGUUUAUUUAAUGUUGAAAUAGUGUGAAUGCUGUACUGCAUAUUCACACACAUGUACAUGUAGGGGCAUUUAUACGAGAGAGAAUAAGUCGCGAUUUAUUGAUUACAUUAAUGGUGAAAUUCGCCACUUUGUAGAGUUGGUCGUAACUUAAAUGAGAACAGGGGUUCUGAUUGGCCCACAAUAAGUCACAACUUAUUAGAAUUUUACCAUUUAUACAAGUGUUUUCGCGUUUUAUAUAAGACGCGACUUAUGCUCCCCGUAUAAAUGAUGCACGACAGCCUGUUGAAUUUCCACGACACCCUGUAGACCGCCCCCUCCAAACAGCCGCCUACUUUAUCGGAACAGACACCUACUCAGAAUAAUUCUGAAAGCCCUGUGGGUUAUUAGUAUUUUGAGGAAAGUUUCGGGUCGGAGUGUUAUGUUCUUUGAAUUACGAAUUUUCCAGCCCCCCUCCAUGCUUUAUGACUAGUCCCCAUAGCUUCGUUGAAUCUACGCCAAACAAAAUAUAUGUUAUUUGAAACUAGACAGAAAUUACUUCUAAGUUUGUUAUUGAUAAUCAGCAAAUAAAUAAGUGCCAUGUUAUUUCAAACUUCGAAUUGAUAAACCUAUUUUUUUAAUUUCAUGGAAAAAUUACUUUUUCUGGUAUGUUUGUUUGAGUCCUUAGUCGCCAAAUUCAGUCAUGCAUAUAAAUAUACAAGUAUUAUAAAUUCAAAAUAAAUUUAAAUUCAAAAUAAGUUUAAAUUCAAAAUAAGCUUUUUUAGAAUCCGUCGGCGCACUAAUAUU